UAGUGUUGUGUUAUUGUUACCUUUAUUAUAGGUGGAAGGACUAUGUCCACUAUUGUAAUACGGCAUUGUGAUCAGAUAAUCGUUCACCCUUUAUCUGUAACAAACAACAGGGAUCCCAACUUGAACAAAUUUUUACGAUUUCAAUUCUAUUUUAAUUUUAUAAGUUCGACAAAAAUAUCUUAUGCUUGUGUUGAAAAAUCAUAAAUCAUAAAUUGCUUUUAACGCGAUUUUUUAUUAGUCAAUUCGCUAAGAAACAAAGACGACAAUCAUAGAGGUUCGUUAGGCGUAUAGAUUUAAUAACUUAAUGAUGGAGACGGGCGAUACUCGCACGUCGCGUAUCGUAUCCGGCUACCGGGUCAUGAGGACCAUACUUGGCGGCACGAAAGCCUGCUUGUAACCAAAGUGAAAUUCCAAUGAGCCUAAUUCGCUCGCCAGACAUGUCGAGAAUUCCUUUUGCGUUCCUUCCAUUUAUCGAGCCUCAGCGUCCGAAGAAAUACGCUUCACGGAUCGUGUGGCGCCAAGGGUCAUACA